rnacentral:rRNA from 1 species
UACGUAGGGUGCGAGCGUUGUCCGGAAUUAUUGAGCGUAAAGAGCUCGUAGGCGGUGUGUCACGUCGUUCGUGAAAAACCUGCAGCUUAACUGUGGGCGUGCGGUCGAUACGGGCAUCACUGGAGUUCGGCAGGGGAGACUGGAAUUCCUGGUGUAGCGGUGAAAUGCGCAGAUAUCAGGAGGAACACCGGUGGCGAAGGCGGGUCUCUGGGCCGAUACUGACGCUGAGGAGCGAAAGCGUGGGGAGCGAACAGG